AGUCACCCUGGGGACCACAGCCCACGCCGGGCUCCCGGGGCCGGGCAGAAGCGGCGGGGGUGGGGCUGGCCCGGCUCACCUUUGAAGAAGCGCAGUGCCAGGCCGUACAACUCCUCCAGGCCGAAACCCCAGCGCUGCUCCAGCCGCCGCGCCUCCUCCGCCGCGCCCCCAGCCGCCGCCUCCCCGGGCUCGGGCUGCUCCCCUGAGGCGCCCGGGCCGCGACCGGAUCCAGGUGGCGAGGGCGGUGGCAGCGGUGGCGGCAGCAGCGGGGCGCCCUCCGCCCCAGGCCGCUCCUCCGGGUCCGGGCUGAGCGUGAGGCCGUCGACGGACACCUCGAGUCGCUCUGCGUUCAGCACCGCCGCCAUCUCCGGCUGCUGCACCUCCUCAGCGGGGACAGACGGCAGCCACGUAUCGACUUCCUGCUGACCUCUGACCUCCGCUUACCGACACCGGAACUUCCGCUGCUGAGGAGGCUGGAGGGCUCCGGGAGAGGGGCUGAGGCCUGGCGCCCCACCCCCUCCGGAAUCGUCAGUUGCCCUGGCUCAGCGACCACCCUUCAGGCUCCCCAACUCCCGUUGGUCCCGAACUCCCCUCCCCCGCACCCCAUCCUUUCGGAUCCCAGUUGCUCCAGGUGGGCGGGUGCUACCACCCCCACCGCUCGGUUCGGUGCUGCGGCUGUCAGUGCCCAGCAGGGGCGGGGUCAGUGGAGCCCCGCGCGGGGGUCGGAGUAGGGAGGAUUGACGAGGUCGGCCAGCACCCAACCCUCCAGACUUCGGGUCUUAUAGCACGAACCCCUUGAAGUCUGCGUGGGUACACACCACAGUAGAUUUUGGUGCUUUCCCAGCCUUCUUGGUAUAAAGUUACAGCAAGAAGACGUGAAAGGUUGGGAAAGGAGACCUCUGAUUCCAAGGACUCGUUCAAAAGAUGCUGAGACCGAGGCUUAAGCUUCAGGGCACCUCGGCCCCACCUGCUGGCCGGAGACGGUAGCGCUGCCCCAGCCGCUCAGUGCUUAUGGGGCUGGCAGAGGGAUGGGAUGGGGCUGGCUGGGAAGAAGAGGUCGCUGAGGCCCCGCCUGGGAGCUGCAGAGCUGGGGCAAACCUGGGGCUCUGGGCAGGUCUGCCCCAGGCAGUAUACUGUGGAGAAUGAAACUUUUCUAAAUGAUCAAUAAAAAAGCCAAAGUGGAG
rnacentral:lncRNA from 1 species